rnacentral:rRNA from 1 species
GAUGAACGCUGGCGGCGUGCCUAAUACAUGCCAGUCGAGCGAACGGACGAGAAGCUUGCUUUUCUGAUGUUAGCGGCGGACGGGUGAGUAACACGUGGAUAACCUACCUAUAAGACUGGGAUAACUUCGGGAAACCGGAGCUAAUACCGGAUAAUAUUUUGAACCGCAUGGUUCAAAAGUGAAAGACGGUCUUGCUGUCACUUAUAGAUGGAUCCGCGCUGCAUUAGCUAGUUGGUAAGGUAACGGCUUACCAAGGCAACGAUGCAUAGCCGACCUGAGAGGGUGAUCGGCCACACUGGAACUGAGACACGGUCCAGACUCCUACGGGAGGCAGCAGUAGGGAAUCUUCCGCAAUGGGCGAAAGCCUGACGGAGCAACGCCGCGUGAGUGAUGAAGGUCUUCGGAUCGUAAAACUCUGUUAUUAGGGAAGAACAUAUGCGUAAGUAACUGUGCACAUCUUGACGGUACCUAAUCAGAAAGCCACGGCUAACUACGUG